rfam:Monodelphis domestica chromosome 6, whole genome shotgun sequence.
UUCAAGGUUCUUUUAAUAACCACAAGAUUUUCUCUAAAACAUAAUCU